AUGCGCGGCUCUCUCGAUCCCGAUCCAUUCAGAGGGGCUGCCCCUUCUCUCCUCCGCUCGCCGCUUGGCCGUAGAAAAGAAGUCCGGGCAGGGGACAUGGCGGCCGCCGGUGGCAUUUUCCCAUCGCGCCUCGAUUUGGCCGCCUCGGCGGAGGCGCUCGCGGCCUGGAGGGUCGGCGCAGUGCCUCACCUUGGCCUGGAGGCUGGCCGCCAUGGAGCUCCCCUCGGCCUAGAACUGGGGCUUGACGGGGCCUCCCUGCCCAGUUCAUGGCCGCAGCCGUCUCGGCUGUGCACGCCGGCAUCGUGA
rnacentral:rRNA from 1 species